rnacentral:lncRNA from 1 species
CCUUUCAUUAGCAUACUAGGGUUUCCAACAUUCAGCGUCUUCUCCAAGCUUCCUGUCAUUCUUCUCCAUCCUUCCUCUCUCAAUCUCAAACAUCUGAUAAAAGGUAAAUCGAAUAAGUUCUUUUGUUGAUCCAACAAAAUAACGGAUCAUGAUCACUCUUCAUAUCACCAACUAGGGUUUCACAUAAAUCGCUCUCGCGUUCUUCUCUGCCGACCUAGGGUUUCUCUUCCUCUCUUUUCUCUGAUUCUUUUUCAUGAUUCCCAAAAUUGAGGACUUGCAAAUCGUGAAUGAGAUCUGCCUCUAAACGAAGGGCAUUGGAAUUACAUCAAUAUCAAGGCUAAUAAAACCCUGGGAUUUUAUGGAUUUUGAUCUCAUUUUUUUGCCAUUGUCAAGCAAAACAAAGGUGCAGUGCGAGUUAGGUCUGUGAAAUUUUACUCAUAAAUUUAAGCAUCAAUUUGUUAUUAGAGAAGGCUUGCAUUUUGCUUUAUUUCAUUUAUGGAAACAAGCUUUGUGAUGACAAAGUUCCUGAUCGAAUUCACCGUACAUAUACUAUUUGGUAAUUUCAACCCAUUUUGAUAUGUUAUAUGUCCAGACUAUCACUUCUGAUCUUAGACUAAAUAUAUAUCAAACCGGUUGAAACAAUGUGUUGAGCCAGCGAGAAAGGAAUCAAGGUUUUUCCUUUUAACUAAUUGAUUUUGGGCUUUAUGUGUUCUUCAAGCCAGGUAUUUUAAUAUGUACCUUUUAUCCCAUAUGUUUACAUUUGCUUUUAAACUGAUUAUUGAGACUUUAAGAAUCAUAAAUUGAUAGCUGGGUGUUUAAUUGAACAAAGCAGGUUCGUUUUCUAGACAAAAAUGGAGAAAGAAAGUAGGGUCACUUCGGAAAUGGAAAAGUCAACAUGAAAUUCAUGUUCAACUAUGGACCGUGGUAUGGAUCCAUGGAAAUUCAAAAGUGAAUUGAAUUUUGGAAAUAAAAAAAUAAAGAUGGGAGAGACUAAAGAAAGAGAUAUCAGUUGUAUGAAAAAAAUGAGGUAUGGGUUUGUAUUUAUAAAUAAAAGUGGUGGCGGUUUGGUAUAGGCUGGCACCUAAGAAUCGGUAUCCGGCUGCGUGAAAGUGUUGCAUUAAUGCAUUGGUUGGCGAAACCGGCGAAGUUGGCGGAGUUGGGGAGGAAGGUUGAAUUGCAAUGAUGGCGGAGUUGGGGAGGAAGGUUGAAUUGCAAUGAUGGUAAACCACCUGUGGUUUGAUCAAGAUCAACCUACAGAUGCUCAGUUUUCUACAAAUAACGUUAUUAUCAAACACUAGAAUUCAAAGGCAACAAGUUAAAGAUUCUGUGUGUUUACUUGCAACUCCAGCUGCGCGAGUUGAUAAACAAAUCCUAACAACAGUUCAUUUAAACUAUUGUUAACGAUUCCAAUGGCGUUUUUUUACCAGAUAUACCCAUCGCAAACUCACUAUCAUUUCCCACAUCCGGCGCUUGAUCAACAUUUUUUGGUCUAUUAUAUGCCGACUAGGCAGUCGGCCCAAGGUUAUAACUUACCAUUGCAGGCUGAUGCCUCCUAUGCUGUUUCCGCCCCUCCUAAUCAUCAAGUCCCGCCGCCUUAUGGUUUGAUCACUGCACCGCAGGUUGUCCAAUCCACCACAAACACUGAAGCACCAGCAGGCGUGUAUAGAUCUUAAGAAAUUAUGUUUUUAGAUUUACAUUUCGAGUUUUACAGAUGAUGAUACGAGGAACUCUGCUCUUGCUAAGGAAAUGGCUGCUCAUUCUUAAUGUUUUUGUUAUGGGCGAAGUGGUAAAAAUAUAUCUAUCAAAGGGUAGGAGAAUACCAGUGUGCAUAAAAGCAAAAAUGUCCACUUCUGCCGAAAAAGGGUCUCCUUCGCCACUAAAACAGGUCCAUCCCGAUUGACUAGCGUAGCCCGAGUACAUCACUUCCUAUAGUGGAAUUGUAGGGAAGCGUCAGAUGCAGGUCACAUCUGUUGGUAACAUCUACACCGAAUGAGUUACAUAGGGCUGUUGAUGCUUGCAAGAAUGUCCUAAGAGGCUUGCAUAGUGAAAAGAUGGCAGAUCAUGAAUUGGAUUCGGUUCGUUAUUUUCUUUUAAAGGGCAAAAUGGGUAAAAAGGACGAGUUAAUUAGGAAACACUCAAAUGGGUUGAUUGGGUGAAAGUGGCUCAAACUGUAUUUUGAACACAACCUUCUAAAUCAUGUCUUUCAAAAUUAUUUGAAAUAAUAUACUAUUAGUUUUUGUAACCAUGCUCAACACACUAUUGGAUUGUUGAGGUAUAAGUAUAACUCUGUUUAUUGACAUGCCAAACUAGCUCUGCUGAUGAAACACGAAACAUUAACCAUAUCAAAUGCUGACUAGCUUUGGUUGUAGGCUAUUUGUAGGCUGUUUUUAUUCAUAGGAGGUAACAUUAGACUGAAUUGACAAUUUUAUGAAGUUGUUGAACAGACCAUUGUACCCUUUUCGAGUUGAAUUAGCAUAAUAGUUUAGUUUUUCGUUGUUUUCUUAUUGUUUUUGGCAUGUAUUUUAUAUAAUAUAUUAUGCUUCAAAGAUUUGACAAGCUAUAUGGAGCUGCUACUAUUAAGGAUGUAUACCUGGCAUUUGAAUAAUUGAAAGUUGAUGAUCUAUUAUUUUACUAUUGCAUCUGCAUUGCUGAUGCUUAGGCAUAUGAUGAAAUUUCAGGCUUAAAUAUGGUUGUUUUUAUUCCUUUUAUAGCAAUUUUUGACAAUUUAUGACUAAAUUUUUGA